rnacentral:rRNA from 1 species
CGGGACGGGUGAGUAAUGUCUGGGAAACUGCCUGAUGGAGGGGGAUAACGACUGGAAACGGUAGCUAAUACCGCAUAACGUCGCAAGACCAAAGAGGGGGACCUUCGGGCCUCUUGCCAUCGGAUGUGCCCAGAUGGGAUUAGCUAGUAGGUGGGGUAACGGCUCACCUAGGCGACGAUCCCUAGCUGGUCUGAGAGGAUGACCAGCCACACUGGAACUGAGACACGGUCCAG